AGUUAAAUGUAAAUGUUUAACUAGGAGAUUAAAAGAUAUAUUCUUUAAAUUUAAAGAAUUUGGCGGUAAAUUAAUUUGACUAGAGGAAUUUGUUUAUUAAUUGAUAAUCCGCAGUUUAUCUUACCUUAAAAUUUAUUUGUUAAUAUGUAUAUCGCCGUUUAAAUGAAUAUUUUUAAAGAAGGAAUUUUCUUUUUAAUUUAUAUUAGUAAAAUCAGGUCAAGGUGCAGUUUAUAUUAAGGAGAAAAAUGAAUUACAUUUAUUAUUAAUAAUUACGAAUUAUUAAAUGAAAUAUUUAAUAUGAAGGUGGAUUUAGAAGUAAAGUUAUAGUAGAGUGGUUUAUUGAAUUAAAUUUUAAUUUA
rnacentral:rRNA from 1 species